UGGAAGGCAGGCCCGCAGCCGGCUGCCACUCCGCGCCCUGGGGCUCCUCGGAGUCAUCCGGAAGCCUGCGCGCCGCUGGGGCGGGACCCAAAUUGGGCAACCGCCCGGGGGACCCCACUUUCUCCCGCGCUUCUAGCAUCCGAGAUAAAGGCUCAGAAUGACACCGUCUUGGCACAGGAUCCCCAGGCACUCCUGGCCCUUCUUCCAGUCUCUGCUCAGAACCGUUCUCUCCAGGGAGUCUUGUGAGCAGUUCGAAGGUCCCAUGACCUACAGUACCCGUGCUGGGGAAAGACAGAGGUUUGGGUUUGGUGGUUCCUUAAUUAUACUCUGGAAGCUUAAUUGAUGGAGUGAAUAACGGUAGCCACUGGCUACUGGACCCAUUCACUAUUCCAGUCCUCACAGCAACACCGGAAGGAAGGAAGUUUUAAGAUUCCCCACGUUUCAGAUCAAGAAAUUGAGGCUCAGAGAUAACUGGAGUGCUGGCAGAUGAUUAAUGACCAACUUGAGAAUUAAAUCCGGGCUUAAAAGCCUUGAUUUAUAAUGUCGCAACUUCCACGGUGGAAACCCCUCGGGCCUGUGGAGGACUUUGUCGUUCCGUGACCCCAAUCCCAGCUCUGACACCCUAACAAGCAGGGGUGAUCCAGAGGGCUCCUCUCCAUGACAGUCAGUGAACUCACAUGCAAAACUCCACUUUGCCCGACAGUAACACGGCUCGAGGCCCUGUGCUCUCAUGAAGCAAACCAUCAGCUUCUCGGCUCCUCGCAAUCGUUCCACAUAAACGGCUUGCUUUUCCUUUCCUUUGAGAAACUCCUUCACUGCCGACAGCGGGCUGACCUUGCUUCUCUUGCAGUCACAGCCUCCGGAGUUGUGGGGGGAGCACAGGUGUGCCUUAUCGUGUUCCUCUAAGUGACGGUACUCGCGCCAACCUGACUGGCAAAAAGAACGUGGGAAAGGCAGGGUUCCUGUGCUGAAUUGACUAUGCUCUAUGAUGGCCUCAUCAGUCCUGUGUGUUACUGCUCAUGCCUCUGUGGACAGCUAUGUACCCAAGGUGCUUGGGAAAGCAACACUGUGUGACUUCGAAGCCUGCAUGAGAGACAGCAUCCAUCACUUUUGCUCUGUUCUUUCUUGGGCUCUCUCAAUGGAGGUCAAGAUGAGCUGAGCAUCGGACUUUCUGAAUGACUCCAGGGACAGCGACAGCGCCAGAGUCUCAAUUUGCUUCUGGAAGGAUGACCCCACCCCCACCCCAGAAGGGAGAGCCUGCUGCUCAGUCAAGCCCGUCCAUGGCCACAGCACAGCCAUGCUGGAGCUUCUGGCUCAGAGAAUCUGCUAGAUGAUGUUGUUUUAAGAUGCUAAAUUUGGGGGGUAAUUUGUUACGCCACAUGAUAUAAUUAAUGCAAAACCUAAUCUGUAGGAGCAUUUUAACUUAAAAGGGAAGAAAAGAUGAAAAUGAAUAAAGAGAAAUAUG